GAGCGGUAGAGAGGUGCUUGCACCUCUUGAGAGCGGCGGACGGGUGAGUAAUGCCUAGGAAUCUGCCUGGUAGUGGGGGAUAACGUCCGGAAACGGACGCUAAUACCGCAUACGUCCUACGGGAGAAAGCAGGGGACCUUCGGGCCUUGCGCUAUCAGAUGAGCCUAGGUCGGAUUAGCUAGUUGGUGAGGUAAAGGCUCACCAAGGCGACGAUCCGUAACUGGUCUGAGAGGAUGAUCAGUCACACUGGAACUGAGACACGGUCCAGACUCCUACGGGAGGCAGCAGUGGGGAAUAUUGGACAAUGGGCGAAAGCCUGAUCCAGCCAUGCCGCGUGUGUGAAGAAGGUCUUCGGAUUGUAAAGCACUUUAAGUUGGGAGGAAGGGUCGUUACCUAAUACGUGAUGGUUUUGACGUUACCGACAGAAUAAGCACCGGCUAACUCUGUGCCAGCAGCCGCGGUAAUACAGAGGGUGCAAGCGUUAAUCGGAAUUACUGGGCGUAAAGCGCGCGUAGGUGGUUUGUUAAGUUGGAUGUGAAAUCCCCGGGCUCAACCUGGGAACUGCAUUCAAAACUGACUGACUAGAGUAUGGUAGAGGGUGGUGGAAUUUCCUGUGUAGCGGUGAAAUGCGUAGAUAUAGGAAGGAACACCAGUGGCGAAGGCGACCACCUGGACUGAUACUGACACUGAGGUGCGAAAGCGUGGGGAGCAAACAGGAUUAGAUACCCUGGUAGUCCACGCCGUAAACGAUGUCAACUAGCCGUUGGGAGCCUUGAGCUCUUAGUGGCGCAGCUAACGCAUUAAGUUGACCGCCUGGGGAGUACGGCCGCAAGGUUAAAACUCAAAUGAAUUGACGGGGGCCCGCACAAGCGGUGGAGCAUGUGGUUUAAUUCGAUGCAACGCGAAGAACCUUACCUACUCUUGACAUCCAGAGAAUUCGCUAGAGAUAGCUUAGUGCCUUCGGGAACUCUGAGACAGGUGCUGCAUGGCUGUCGUCAGCUCGUGUUGUGAAAUGUU
rnacentral:rRNA from 1 species